rnacentral:rRNA from 1 species
GACGAACGCUGGCGGCGUGCUUAACACAUGCAAGUCGAACGGAAAGGCCCUGCUUUUGCGGGGUGCUCGAGUGGCGAACGGGUGAGUAACACGUGAGUAACCUGCCUUUGACUUUGGGAUAACUUCAGGAAACUGGGGCUAAUACCGGAUAGGAGCUCCUGCUGCAUGGUGGGGGUUGGAAAGUUUCGGCGGUUGGGGAUGGACUCGCGGCUUAUCAGCUUGUUGGUGGGGUAGUGGCUUACCAAGGCUUUGACGGGUAGCCGGCCUGAGAGGGUGACCGGCCACAUUGGGACUGAGAUACGGCCCAGACGCCUACGGGGGGCAGCAGUGGGGAAUAUGGCACAAUGGGCGGAAGCCUGAUGCAGCAACGCCGCGUGCGGGAUGACGGCCUUCGGGUUGUAAACCGCUUUCGCCUGUGACGAAGCGUGAGUGACGGUAAUGGGUAAAGAAGCACCGGCUAACUACGUG